rnacentral:rRNA from 1 species
GAGGGACCUGCGUCCCAUCAGCUAGUUGGUAGGGUAACGGCCUACCAAGGCGUCGACGGGUAAGGGGCCUGAGAGGGUGGCCCCUCACAAUGGAACUGAAACACGGUCCAUACACCUACGGGUGGCAGCAGUAGGGAAUAUUGGUCAAUGGGCGAAAGCCUGAACCAGCAACGCCGCGUGCACGAUGAAGGCCUUCGGGUCGUAAAGUGCUUUUCUGAGAGAUGAGAAAGGACAGUAUCUCAGGAAUAAGUCUCGGCUAACUACGUGCCAGCAGCCGCGGUAAAACGUAGGAGGCAAGCGUUAUCCGGAUUUACUGGGCGUAAAGCGCGUGUAGGCGGUUCGGCAAGUUGGAUGUGAAAGCUCCUGGCUUAACUAGGAGAGGUCGUUCAAUACUACCGAACUUGAGGGCAUCAGAGGAAGGUGGAAUUCCCGGUGUAGUGGUGAAAUGCGUAGAUAUCGGGAGGAACACCAGUGGCGAAAGCGGCCUUCUGGGAUGCAUCUGACGCUCAGACGCGAAAGCUAGGGUAGCAAACGGGAUUAGAG